rnacentral:ncRNA from 2 species
UUAAUCCUUCAGGGCAGGGUGAAAUUCCCGACCGGCGGUAAAGUCCGCGAGCCGUAUGUUAUAUGGUUGAUUUGGUGAAAUUCCAAAACCGACAGUAAAGUCUGGAUGGGAGAUUAGGAUUAA